rnacentral:tRNA from 1 species
ACUUAAAUAGCUUAUACUUAGAGCAUAGUAUUGAAGAUACUAAGGAAAUUAAUAAUUUUUAAGUA